UGCAGGAUGAAGGCCUUCGGGUUGUAAACUGCUUUUGUACGGAACGAAAAGCCCUGGGUUAAUACCCUGGGGUCAUGACGGUACCGUAAGAAUAAGCACCGGCUAACUACGUGCCAGCAGCCGCGGUAAUACGUAGGGUGCGAGCGUUAAUCGGAAUUACUGGGCGUAAAGCGUGCGCAGGCGGUUUUGUAAGACAGAGGUGAAAUCCCCGGGCUCAACCUGGGAACUGCCUUUGUGACUGCAAGGCUAGAGUACGGCAGAGGGGGAUGGAAUUCCGCGUGUAGCAGUGAAAUGCGUAGAUAUGCGGAGGAACACCGAUGGCGAAGGCAAUCCCCUGGGCCUGUACUGACGCUCAUGCACGAAAGCGUGGGGAGCAAACAGGAUUAGAUACCCUGGUAGUCCACGCCCUAAACGA
rnacentral:rRNA from 1 species